UCCACCAUGAAUAUGCAAAUAUGGGUAUAAUUGGCAGCCAAUGGCGUGCGCGCUGGUCACAUGGUGCUGGUGGAAGCUCAGGGAAGAGAAGUUGAGUCUCGGCGAACACAGGCAGCUCAGUAACCAGCCGCAGCGGCCGGAGCGGGCGGCCGGGCAGGGGAGUGAGUGCGCCGCUCCCCCACCCUCCCUCCUCCCCGCAGGGUGCCCGGCGGGCCGGGGCUCUGCCUGGACCAUGCCGAUCCUCCUCUUCCUCAUAGACACGUCCGCCUCCAUGAACCAGCGGGCGUAUCUAGGCACCAGCUACCUGGACAUCGCCAAGGGCGCUGUGGAGAUCUUCAUGAAGCUGCGGGCCCGGGACCCGGCCAGCCGCGGCGACAGGUACAUGCUGGUUACCUUCGACGAGCCGCCCUACUGUAUCAAGGCUGGAUGGAAGGAAAACCAUGCAACGUUUAUGAACGAACUGAAAAAUCUUCAGGCUUCAGGACUAACAACCCUUGGUCAGGCACUCAGGUCAUCGUUUGACUUGUUAAAUCUCAAUAGAUUAGUGUCUGGAAUAGACAACUAUGGACAGGGAAGGAAUCCAUUCUUUUUGGAACCAUCUAUUUUGAUUACAAUCACAGACGGAAACAAACUGACAAAUACCGCUGGAGUUCAAGAGGAGCUUCAUCUUCCUUUGAAUUCUCCUUUGCCUGGAAGUGAACUAACCAAAGAACCGUUUCGUUGGGAUCAAAGGCUGUUCGCUCUGGUGCUGCGUUUGCCAGGAGCUGCAGCUGCUGAACCGGAGCAGCUGGGGAGUGUGCCCACCGAUGAAUCCGCCAUCACACAGAUGUGCGAAGUUACAGGAGGUCGUUCUUACUGCGUUCGGACACAAAGAAUGUUGAAUCAAUGUUUAGAAUCUCUAGUUCAAAAAGUCCAAAGUGGAGUUGUUAUUAACUUUGAAAAGUCAGGACCAGAUCCAGCUCCUAUUGGAGAAGAUGGACUUGUUGAUUCAUCCAGGCCCAUCAAUUCAUUUGCUUCUCAGCCAUGGCAUAGUUGUCAUAAACUCAUUUAUGUCCGGCCUAACCCUAAAACGGGUGUUCCUGUUGGACAUUGGCCAAUCCCAGAAUCUUUUUGGCCUGAUCAGAAUUCGCCAACACUGCCUCCACGCACAGCUCACCCUGUCGUGAGGUUCUCCUGUGUCGAUUGUGAGCCAAUGGUGAUAGACAAGCUUCCAUUUGACAAGUAUGAGCUUGAGCCUUCACCCUUAACACAGUACAUCUUGGAACGAAAGUCUCCCCAUACCUGCUGGCAGGUAUUUGUGAGUAGCAGUGGAAAAUACAGCGAACUUGGCCAUCCGUUUGGGUAUUUAAAAGCAAGCACUACUUUAACCUGUGUAAACCUCUUUGUGAUGCCUUACAACUAUCCUGUUUUACUUCCGUUGUUAGCAGAGGAGGAGAGCUACCUGCUUCCAGUGCAUGUUUGAUGCUGUUCACCUCCUAGACACGUAGCCUCUUCCUUAACCUGGAAUGACUUGUUUAAGGUUCACAAACUUAAGCCAAAUCUGAAGUGGCGACAGGCUUUUGACAACUACUUAAAAACAAUGCCUCCCUACUACUUACUGCCAUUAAAGAAAGCCCUAAGGAUGAUGGGAGCUCCAAAUCUGAUAUCAGAUAAUUUAGAUUGUGGACUUAGUUACAGUGUUAUCUCUUACCUUAAAAAACUCAGCCAACAGACAAAAAUAGAGUCGGAACGGAUAAUAGGUUCAGUGGGUAAGAAAGUUCCACAAGAAAUUGGAAUAAAAGUGAAAAACCACUCCAGUGGCCUCUCCUUGGUACACAGUAGGGAUUUUAAGCAACUGCUGCAAGGGAUCACUGGGGAAUCUCCACUGAGACUGGCGGAAAUGAAUGUAAAGGAAUUUGCUGGCUUCCACAUAGGACUUUUGAACAAGGAUUUGAAGCCACAGGCAUUCAGAAAUGCAUAUGAUAUUCCUCGUCGCAGUCUUCUAGACCAGCUAACUAGAAUGAGAACCAAUCUUCUGAAAACGCACAGGUUUAUCUUGGGGCAGGAUGAAGACAGCCUUCAUAGUGUUCCUGUUGCUCAAAUGGGAAAUUACCAGGAAUACCUGAAAAUGAUGCCUUCACCCCUUCGAGAGAUUGACCCAGAUCAACCAAAAAGACUUCAUACAUUUGGCAAUCCAUUUAAACAGGAUAAGAAGGGUAUGAUGAUAGAUGAAGCAGAUGAAUUUGUCGCUGGGCCUCAGAAUAAGAUUAAGCGUCCUGGAGAGCUCAAUACUCCAGCAUCACUGAAGAGAAGGCGCAGCAUGUCGCCACUGUUGAGACGGCCACAGUCACCGCCGGUCGUGACAAAUCACGUUGGUGGGAAAGGGCCACCAUCCGCUUCUGGAUCCCCAUCGUAUCUGAACCUCAAAGGUGUCCCAGCAAAUAAAGAUAUCAAUAACAGUAUUGUCCAAGAUGGUAAUGGAGAGAAGAAAGCAGAAGAUGGUCAGUCACUGGAAAAGCACAUUGAUGGCUUGCCUGUGCAAAUGGCUCCUUCGGUUCCAGCUGCUUUGGGAGAGGAUGAAAUGUUACCGAAUGACUUGGACUCUCUACCUGUUGAAUUCAAUUGUUUAAGUGAAGAUGGGUUGGAUCAUAAACCUGAUACCAACGCACUUGUUCGAGGGCCUCUAAAUUAUGGUGUGGCUGGAGAUGACCAAAAACGAGUGAUGGAGUCUACUUCCGAAUCUGUGCCAAAUUCAUUUAAAAUAACACCGACGAUGUUGGAGGGAAACAAUGCUGAUAUCAAAAUUAAGGUGAUGAAAGAGGUUCGCAAACCUGGAAGAAAUUAUGAAAAAAUUUUCUCUCUUCUUGAGGAGGUGCAAGGACCUAUGGAAAUUCAGAAGUAUUUCAUUGAAUUUGCUAUCAAGGAAGCAGCAAGGUUUAAAAAACGAGUCUUAAUACAACACUUAGAGAGAAUACUAGAGGAACUAGAGUUCAACAGCCUACCCAACAGAGUUAAUCAUGUCAACAGUAGAUAAUAAUGUACCGGCCAGACGAAUACGGACCAGGAAUGAGUUUGCUGUGCCGCAGAAGAGUGGAAGAGGACGUAGCUGCUGCCCUCACCAUCUUGGCAGCCAAGUGAUUUUACUGUCACAGUCUGAGAAGAAGCAGUGGAGCUUUAACUUUAAGAACCUCUAUCGGCAGAAGCUGGGCUAUAACCUUAAGGAUUUGCUAUGAAAGGUGUGGCUUUUUUCCUGUGGAGGGUGCUAUUUGCUCAACAGGCUGAAGAAAAUAAGCAUUGCUGCCCCUCCUGCAGGUGAUGAGAAUUUACUCAGUUGAACGCUGUCGUUAGACAUUUACGUGCUAUAGGCAGCAGGUUGCACUAAAAUGGGGCACUGUCAAAUGCACACACUGUCUGCAUCGUGGAGAGAGCCCGUGUGUUCCCAAAAAUAAAAAAAACCUCCCAGAAACACCUGCACUGGUAAAAUUGCAUGUGGCCACCACAGAGACAAGGGUCUUGUUCCCGAGAACUGCUAGCCAUGCCUUUAAACUUGAGAUUCAGUGUAGAUUGAGAGUAAAGAAACUGCUAUUGUGUUAAUGAAAGCUAAAGACAGCCCUGUGACUGUUACCACCCGAUGGUCACUAAACAAUCUACCUCAGACUCUCUUCUGUUUUGUCUGCAGACAUUAUGAAAGUGCACCUGAGGCUUCCCAGGUCCCCGACUUCAGUUCUCUUUCAUCCUGUGAGGAGGACGGAGAUUCUUCAGGUGGCCUUGGCACACGCUGUGCUUUGGAAGCACUAAAAGGAAACGCUUUUAAAAACGUGUAUUUUAAUGUUCAUACAAAAGAGAUUAUUUUGAACAGUAUUGUUACCAGAUCACUAAUUUGAUAUUUUAACUGUAUAAAUUUUUUUGGAACAUAUGUAUAUAUAAAAUAAACCAUUUUAUUAAUUUUUAAUAA